UACGUAGGGUGCAAGCGUUGUCCGGAAUUAUUGGGCGUAAAGAGCUCGUAGGCGGUCUGUUGCGUCGGCUGUGAAAACCCGGGGCUCAACUCCGGGCCUGCAGCCGAUACGGGCAGACUAGAGUUCGGCAGGGGAGACUGGAAUUCCUGGUGUAGCGGUGAAAUGCGCAGAUAUCGGGAAGAACACCGGUGGCGAAGGCGGCUCUCUGGACCUGUCCUGACGCUCAGGCGCGAAAGCUAGGGGAGCGAACAGG
rnacentral:rRNA from 1 species